rnacentral:rRNA from 1 species
AUUGAACGCUGGCGGCAGGCCUAACACAUGCAAGUCGAACGGGUGGCGGACGGGCGAGUAAGGUCGGGGAAACUGCCUGAUGGAGGGGGAUAACGACGGGAAAAGGUAGCUAAAACCGCAUACCAUCGGAUGUGCCCAGAUGGGAUGAGGUAGUGGGUGGGGUAAAGGCUCACCUAGGCGACGAUCCUUACCUGGUCUGAGAGGAUGACCAGCCACACGGGAACUGAUACACGGGCCAGACUCCUACGGGAGGCAGCAGUGGGGAAUAUUGGACAAUGGGCGCAAGCCUGACGCAGCCAUGCCGCGUGUAUGAAGAAGGCCUUCGGGUUGUAAAGUACUUUCAGCGGGGAGGCGUUACCCGCCGAAGAAGCACCGGCUAACUCCGUGCCAGCAGCCGCGGUAAUUC